GGCCAAUCUGGUGGCAUCCAGGCUCCACUGGAGCCUCAAGGAUCUGCCUGAGUCCAUUACAGGUCAGGACCAGGAGGCUCAAGGAAGUUCAAGCCAGGUCAGGAAAUGGCUCACCGCCACUGUCACUGAAGAAUAUGCAAAGCAUGACCUACUGAG